AGUGCUGGGAUUACAGGCGUGAGCCACCGCGCCCGGCCCGAGCAUUUCUUACGUGAUAGGGUCUUCAUGUCCAUUCUAUCAUUUAAUUCUUUUUUAUUUUAUUUAUUUAUUUAUUUAUUUUUGAGAUGGAGUCUGGCUCUGUCGCCCAAGCUGGAGUGCAGUGGCACAUCUCAGCUCGCUGCAACCUCCGCCUCCUGGGUUCAAGCGGUUCUCCUGCCUCAGUCUCCGGAGUAGCUGGGACUACAGGCAUGGCUAAUUUUUGUAUUUCUAGUAGAGACGGGGUUUCACUAUGUUGGCCAGGCUGGUCUGGAACUCCUGACCUCAGGUGAUCCUCCCACCGGGGCCUCCCAAAGUGCUGGGAUUACAGGCAUGAGCCACCACACCCAGCCUAUCAUUUAAUUCAUGCAAUGCCCUAGGAGAGAGGGGCUGUGAUUAUUAGCCUCACAUUACAGCUGAGGAAGCUGAGACUCAGAGAGUUUAAGUAACUUGCCCAGGGUCGCGAGGCCAGUAAGUGGAAGAGGGGUGGGUCCCCUGCCCAGGUCUGACCCAGCAGCAUCGUUGAGGAUGUCAGUGACGCAGGCAUGUGGACACGGAUUUGCUGACAGUGGGACCUUUAGGCCAAGAUCCAGCCACAGUUCAAUUAGGAAAAAUCAGCACCUACGAAGUACCUCUAAACGCCAGCAACAGCCUUACCAAGAUCAAAUCCCCAAACCACUCACACGGCAAGGCUUCCCAAGUCACUGGCUGUGGGCUGAGGCUGCAGUGAUGAGUCUGCAGCAGCCAUGCCCACGGCUCAGGUUCAAGUCCUGCACUGACCACUGGGGGUCACCGCUGGCGCGCAGACCUGGUGCAGCCGUCCAGGGGGUGCCUGCGGCAAGGCCGACCUAGGGGAAGGGGCGCAGUGGGUUUCAGGGAGCCAGGCUCCCCCUCGACAGGGAGGCAGAGAUCUCUUCCUCCUCUUACAGGGGUGGGAGGGAGAGAGGCUGGCAACUGCUUCUUCCAGGCUGUCAUCUGGCAACAGUUUUCAGGGCAGCCUGAUUAACCUUGAAUCUAGUUCUGUUGACGUAGCACCAGGGGAAGGGUGAGGGAGCAGAGCCCCCUUCCCUGAGUUGGCAAUGAAGCUCUAGGGGCCUGCCUGGGGGACAUCGUGUCCGGGGCAACCGGGGCAACCAGGGCCUGCGACCUGGGGCAGUGGAGCCUGGGAGCUGAGUCCCAGCUGUUCCAAGCCUCAUGUCUCCCCUGGCAUCUGCGUCAGCAGCUCUGCCCUUUGACUUUUAAUUCCCAGGAGAGGAGGGUGGAGGCAGUCUUGGCCAUCGGGACUAAUUAUUUGUGAUUCGAUUCAACCAGCAGUUUAUUGGGGUUUGGACUGGCUUCCUGCUCUCCUCUCAGCCUCCCACACCCCAGCUUUAUGGCCCUGUUCUCCUUCGGAAGCUGAGAACAGAGAGCAGGAGUGGCUCUGCAGCAGACACCCCGGUUCCUCUUGGUCUCCUGAUCUCGGGAUGUCCUGUGGGAAGUUAAGCUUAUAAAAUGCUUUGAGUCCCUAGAGAGAGGUGGCCCCAAGCUCAUGCCCAGCCCAGGCCCUGGGCCCUCCUAGGCCGGCCUCCUGUUCUACCUGGGCUUGUUCGGACCUGUCCCCAGGUGGGCCGGGCUGGGCCAGGAGAGGGGCGCCAGCCUCCCAGCUGUCCAGGUUAGGGGGUGCAGGGCUCAGAAGGGAUGGGGGUGGAGCAGGCACCGUGGAACCUGCGAGGCUCCCAGGCCCCAGGGCCCCUGUCAGCGUCUACUGUCCCUCUAUAUUCGGCCACAGCGUUAUUGCCAUGUCCUCUCGGGACAGGCAGCCAGCCCGACCCAUGAUGUCUCCUCCAAGGGCCUGGACUAUUUUGGAACCAGCCUUGGGGGUGCUGGGGGAGGCCGAGGUGGGGUUUAAGGGAAGAUUGCCUCGCGGCUCCCGGUCAGGGAUGAGCAGAGGGUGUGUGGCAUGGGGAACUGGCCCCUAGGCCCUUCUCAGAAUUCCCAGUACAGUUACGUGAAUGUUCCUUCUGCUCAGGUUUCCUGGGGAUGCCUAGGCUGGGGCCUCAGGGGCUGAGUCUGGGCAAGAACCCAGCCCCUCCUCCCCCCGGGAGAAGCUUCCAGCUGUUUAGAUUCAUCCCUCAAUUAAAAAACAUUGCCCCCCUGUGCCAGGUUUCACCCAGAGCCACGUACAAGCUAGCCCAGUGGGUCUCAGCCUUUCGGAUUUCUCACAUCACUAACAUUUCAAAAAAAUAAAAAAAUUUAGGAUCUGA